CACGUAGGGCGCAAGCGUUGUCCGGAAUUAUUGGGCGUAAAGAGCUCGUAGGCGGUCUGUUACGCCUGCUGUGAAAACCCAGGGCUUAACCCUGGGCUUGCAGUGGAUACGGGCAGACUAGAGGCAGGUAGGGGAGAAUGGAAUUCCCGGUGUAGCGGUGAAAUGCGCAGAUAUCGGGAGGAACACCGGAUGGCGAAGGCGUAGCUCGGCCUGGGAC
rnacentral:rRNA from 1 species